AUCCUUCCAGCCGGCGAGGUACAUGUACCUCGUUGCCUGGAAGGGUUUCCUUCCAGCCGGCGAGGUAGAUGUACCUUGCCAACUAGAAGGAAAUCUACCUUGUCGACCAGAAGGGGUUUCUUCCGGUCAACGAGGUACAUUUACCUUGCCGGCUGGAAGGAA
rnacentral:miRNA from 1 species